rnacentral:rRNA from 1 species
AGCGAACGCUGGCGGCAGGCCUAACACAUGCAAGUCGAACGAACCUUUCGGGGUUAGUGGCGGACGGGUGAGUAACACGUGGGAACGUGCCUUUAGGUUCGGAAUAACACAGGGAAACAUGUGCUAAUACCGAAUGUGCCCUUCGGGGGGAAGAUUAAUCGCCUUUAGAGCGGCCCGCGUCUGAUUAGCUAGUUGGUUGAGGUAAUGGCUCACCAAGGCGACGAUCAGUAGCUGGUCUGAGAGGAUGAUCAGCCACAUUGGGACUGAGACACGGCCCAAACUCCUACGGGAGGCAGCAGUGGGGAAUCUUGCGCAAUGGGCGAAAGCCUGACGCAGCCAUGCCGCGUGAAUGAUGAAGGUCUUAGGAUUGUAAAAUUCUUUCACCGGGGACGAUAAUGACGGUACCCGGAGAAGAAGCCCCGGCUAACUUCGUG